AACGCUGGCGGCGCGCCUAACACAUGCAAGUCGAACGGGAAAGUGGGCAACCAUGAGUACAGUGGCGUACGGGUGAGUAACACGUGGGUAAUCUACCUCUUAGUGGGGAAUAACCCUGGGAAACCGGAGCUAAUACCGCAUGAGCUCGAGAGAGGAAAGUCGCAAGACGCUGAGAGAGGAGCCCGCGGCCGAUUAGCUAGUUGGUAGGGUAAAAGCCUACCAAGGCAGAGAUCGGUAGCCGGCCUGAGAGGGCACACGGCCACACUGGCACUGAAACACGGGCCAGACUCCUACGGGAGGCAGCAGUGGGGAAUCUUGCACAAUGGGGGAAACCCUGAUGCAGCGACGCCGCGUGAGCGAUGAAGCCCUUCGGGGUGUAAAGCUCUUUCGUCAGGGAAGAUGAUGACGGUACCUGGAGAAGCAGCUGCGGCUAACUACGUGCCAGCAGCCGCGGUAAUACGUAGGCAGCAAGCGUUGUUCGGAGUUACUGGGCGUAAAGGGUGUGUAGGCGGUUCUUUAAGUUUGGUGUGAAAUCUCCCGGCUCAACCGGGAGGGUGCGCCGAAUACUGAGGGACUAGAGUGCGGGAGAGGAAAGUGGAAUUCCUUGGUGUAGCGGUGAAAUGCGUAGAUAUCAGGAGGAACACCGGUGGUGUAGACGGCUUUCUGGACCGUAACUGACGCUGAGACACGAAAGCGUGGGUAGCAAACAG
rnacentral:rRNA from 1 species